UAGAGUUUGAUCCUGGCUCAGGAUGAACGCUGGCGGCGUGCCUAACACAUGCAAGUCGAACGGACCCUUCGGGGUGAGUGGCGCACGGGUGAGGAACACGUAGCUUACCUGCCCUCAAGACUGGGAUAACCCUGCGAAAGCAGGGCUAAAACCGGAUAAGCUCACGAGGUACAGAGGCUUUGUGAGAAAAUCUUUGGAGCUUGAGGAGGGGGCUGCGGCCCAUCAGCUAGUUGGUAGGGUAACGGCCUACCAAGGCGACGACGGGUAGGGGGCCUGAGAGGGUGACCCCCACACUGGGACUGAGACACGGCCCAGACUCCUACGGGAGGCAGCAGUGAGGAAUAUUGCGCAAUGGGCGAAAGCCUGACGCAGCGACGCCGCGUGGACGAUGAAGGUCUUCGGAUCGUAAAGUCCUUUUCUGCGUGACGAGGAAGGACGGUAGCGCAGGAAUAAGUGUCGGCUAACUACGUGCCAGCAGCCGCGGUAAU
rnacentral:rRNA from 1 species